rnacentral:lncRNA from 1 species
GUUAAUUCUCUGCCUGGAAAAGUAACAGAAAAUCAAGAGUGUUUCUCAUACUGUAGUCUUUGCAGUCCCUAUGAAAUCAUGAGGUAUUUAUGCAAAUUGCUUGAGUCUCCAUGGCCCAGAAGCAGGCUAAAGUGCAGAAGAGGUGGAUCGCAAACACAGCUUGUCAAAAUACACCAUGAUGGAGAGCAGUUGCCCUACAAACUGCCAGAUGCUGACAUGCCAAAGAGUGGGGAGGACUUUCUGUGUAGCCAAGGGUUUUGUUCUCCUGCAGGAGGUCGGGGGGAAGCACUGGAGGGAAGAUGAAGCUGAGUCCUGACCUCGCCAUGUGGUCUGCAGCUGAUUCAUCUGGACCUUGGCCUGGUCACCUUACUGUCUAUUGCUCCAUUUCUAUACCUGUAAAAUAGAGGUGUGAGGGAGGAUCCUCUAUGACGUUUCCUAGCUCUGAAGUUUUAUGACUGUAAUGUAUCAAAUGCCCGUAGCUGUCUAUUAUAGCUGAAGUGGAUUAGGGUUAAUAUUUACCCUAGAAAUUAAGUUUAUCACCUCAUUUUUUUAGAAUGAAAUUUAAAAGAUAUAAAUUAUACAUUUUC